AACGAGACCUUAACCUGCUAUUUAGUCGCUCGGUCUCCGUCCGUGCGCACUUCAUAGAGGGACUCUGCGGCGUCAAGCUGCGGUGAGGUUUAAGGCAAUAACAGGUCUGUGAUGCCCUUAGAUGUCCUGGGCUGCACGCGCGCUACACUGAUGCUUGCCUCGUGUUUACCCUCGGCCGAUAGGCCCUGGUAACCCCUAGUCUGCAUCGUGUUUGGGAUUGAUCUUUGCAAUUCUAGAUCAUGAACGAGGAAUGCCUAGUAUGCGCAAGUCAUCAGCUUGUGCAGAUUACGUCCCUGCCCUUUGUACACA
rnacentral:rRNA from 1 species